rnacentral:rRNA from 1 species
AUUGCUGGAAGGCAUCUUCGCUCAAAGCAGCAAUGUGCCUUAGGAUGGGACUGCGUCGGAUUAGCUUGUUGUUGAGGUAAUUGCUCAACAAGGCUGUAAUCCGUACGGGUCGUGAGAGCGAUAGCCCGGAGAUGGCUUCUGAGACAUGAAGCCAGGCCCUACGGGGCGCAGCAGGCGCGAAAACUUCGCAAUGCCCGAAAGGGUGACGAGGGGAUCCUGAGUGGCAUCGCAAUGCGGUGCCUUUUGUUUACUGUAAAUAGGUAGAUGAAUAAGGGGUGGGUAAGACGGUUGCCAGCCGCCGCGGUAAU